rnacentral:rRNA from 1 species
GGAUCAAUGGAUUGGUCAUGCCGAUGGUGUGUACUGGUCAUAUUGGUUCUCACCUUCUAAGGAACCAUAAUGUCAUUUAUUUGAUGUUGUGGGGAAUUAGGACUGUUACCUUGAAAAAAUUAGAGUGUUCAAAGCAGGCGUAACCUUGCCAUUGAAUAUUACAGCAUGGGAUAAUAGAAU